CGAUGUCAACACUAACAGAAACCCCGUUCAAGAGCUACACGGGUUUACCGCCCGUCAAACACCACAGAAGAAGAAGUAGAGAGUGCUGCGCCCCCUGCCGGCAGACCGCGUCCGCGCCUGCUCCGUCUCACACACACCGCUCGAUGACAGACGGGGAGGGGGAAGCGGAGAGAAGUGUGAGCUGUGAUGCAUGUUUAAAAGGGAACUUCAGAGGGCGCCGAUACAAGUGUUUAAUUUGCUACGACUACGACCUUUGUGCAUCUUGCUACGAAAGUGGAGCCACAACCACUAGACACACCACGGAGCACCCAAUGCAGUGCAUACUAACCAGGGUAGACUUUGACUUGUAUUAUGGGGGGGAGGCAUUCUCAGUAGAGCAGCCUCAGUCAUUUACUUGUCCUUACUGUGGUAAAAUGGGCUACACGGAAACAUCUCUACAGGAGCAUGUGACCUCAGAGCAUGCAGAGACCUCUACAGAGGUGAUUUGCCCAAUCUGUGCAGCUUUGCCUGGUGGCGACCCCAAUCAUGUGACAGAUGACUUUGCUGCUCAUCUCACACUUGAACACAGAGCACCUAGAGAUUUAGAUGAGAGCAGCGGCGUACGGCACGUUCGUCGGAUGUUCCACCCUGGGCGGGGACUGGGCGGUCCGCGGGCACGCCGGACUAACAUGCACUUUACCAGCAGCUCCACUGGUGGGCUCUCCUCUUCACAAAGCUCCUCCUACUCUCCAAGCAAUAGGGAAGCCAUGGACCCCAUAGCAGAGUUGCUCUCUCAGCUGUCGGGUGUGCGGCGCUCCGCAGGAGGACAGCUCAACUCUUCUGGCCCCUCGGCCUCGCAGCUGCAGCAACUGCAAAUGCAGCUUCAGCUGGAGCGCCAGCAGGCACAGGCGGCGCGUCAGCAGCUGGAGACGGCCCGCAACGCUACACGCCAACGCAGCAACCCUAGCAACAUCAGCGCCAGCAUCCCGCCGCCCAACACCGCCACAAACACAGCCAUGACUGAGAGCAACCCGCUGGCCUCCCACAGCUCCCAGUUUCUUCUCACACGGUUGAACGAGCCGAAAAUGUCCGAGGCAGAACGGCAGGCGCUGGAGAGCGAGCGCGCGGACCGCAGCCUGUUCGUGCAGGAGCUGCUGCUGUCCACACUAAUGCGAGAAGAGAGCUCGUCUUCCGACGAGGAUGAAAGGCGAGACUUUGCUGACUUCGGCGCCAUGGGCUGCGUGGACAUCAUGCCUUUAGACGUGGCUCUGGAGAGCCUCAACCUGAAGGAGAGCUCCACAGGCAAGGAGCCUCCACCACCUCCUCUUUGAUGAUAUCCCACCACAACGCAGACAAUGUCCUCUGUGCUGUAACUGCCAAUGACGCAGGUGAGCGUAGGUAUCUGUGGCAGACCACUGCUUCCUGUGUCUUGCAAAAGGCUCUCCUUAUAAAUACUCCACAUUCAAAAACUGAAGAGGAAACAAGAGACCUUCUCUAAUGAAGCUGCUGUGUGUAUUUAUGAAUAUUAAUGAAUAAAAAGUGCUUGGAUGGUUUACCAUAACUACUGCAUGAGGUUAUUUGCAGCGUGCAUGAUUUUUAAUGACCUUGUCAUUAAAAAGACAAAAUAUCCCAAAGCUUUCUUUAACUUUUUUUCCCAGGGUUACUUGAACAUAGCCCAUUUGAAAUGGGUGAAAUAUCUACAAAUUUAGGAUUUUACUUUUCUUUUUGUUUAAUAUGGAAAUCAACAGCAAAAUUGAAACCUGCAGUAGCUUCGCAAGUGCUAAAUGCUUAUGUCACUCAGCUCCAAUCUGCCCCUCCUCAUCUGUGACGCUGUAGAGCACAACAGUGACCGCACACUUUAUCAGCGACAGUGUCUUUCCCAUUCAUUUUCUCCAUAAGGAUAACUAAACUGACCAGUUCCAAGAUAAAUUACAACGCACCAUAUGCAAAUUGUAUUUGUUUUUCAAAAUAAAAAGGUAUGGAAAACAUAAAGGUACAAGGUUGCAUACCUUGAUGGAUUAAACUACAAUUACUGACUUAUUUGUCCUUAUAAGGAUAAAAACAUUGUGUAUUUGUAUAUUGCAACACACAGUCAACAUUUGGUGGAUCAAAAAAGUUAAUCAAAGUUGUCUUAAGACAAGAACGCUUUUUGGUUUUAGGUUUUGAUCCACUUCAAAUGCUAACUACUGUAAUUUAACAUAUAGAAGUAGUUUGGAAGUUUGAGGAGAUUCAAAUACUGUUACCAAGAAUUUGCCACAAAUUUGGUUCGAUUUUUGCAUAUGAAUUUGUCUGUUUGGACCAAUGCAUAAAAAUGGAGGAUAGGCUGAAUAAAAAUGCUAAUUCAAACUGUAACAGUAGUGGCUCUGGACAUGUUAUCACAUGUGAGAAUCUUAUUGGUUGGCCAGUUUUCUUCGCAGUGCAAUGGAAAAAGAAUAGAACACCUUUCCGUAAAAAUAAACAAAUUGUCGCAUUGAUGGUGUACGAAGGUUCAUGUUGGUCUGAACAGACACAUUAACAGCUGUUGAUUUAAAAGUAAACAUUUUAUCGCAUCAAAUUGGCCCAACAAAUAUUCGUUUUGGUGUGAACAAGCAUUUACUUGUUUGUAAUUCACAGUGCUUAAUGAGAGUAGGUAGUCGUUACUGAACUCUCGCUGCGAUUUUUGUUUCCAUGAUAACAGCAAAGUCUCUGAUUGGUGGAGCUCUGGAAUUAUGUGUAGUGUAGUUCCUCAGAGUGGGGGGGGGGGUUUAAAUGACAUUGAAACUCAGCUCAUCUUUUUCAGAGGUUUUCACGUUAAAAACCGGUUUCUCUAUGGAGUAAGUAAAUGGGAUUUUUACUUUCAAAACCGUACUGUUGUGCUCUAUUGGACGUUCAAAUGGUCUGGCCUAAUUGGCCGAGGCAAAUUAACACCUUAAAAAUGUCUUGUUGCCUACAAGAAAAAGAAUAUACAGGUAUCGACAAAAGAUAACCUGCUUUAUACCAUUUUAACUAGACGUCGAUGUCUUAGUGUCUGUGUAACCACCAGAUGUACUCUCUAACUUAUGCACCUGUACAGACAAGUUAGGCUCUCCAUUGUCAUCUCACUCUACUCCUCACAUUUCUGCUUUAGUACGCUUGGAACCCCUCUCUCUUCAUUGGUAAAAGGAGGGUGCGAGAUUUGCCAUGCUACGGGCUUUAUGUUAAACUUCUCAAAAGAGUGACAUGCUUACAUACUCUCUGCUAAUAGACAGCACCUUAUUUAUUCAGGGUUGUUUUUUUUUUUGGUUCUUUUAAGCUUUGUGAUUGAUCAUGCCACCUCCAUGCCUAUACUCUUAUCCUCUAUGUAAAAUACAAUGAGAUGUAUAUGGAAUUUGUGCGUUAACUUUCAUAAUGGAUCUAGGACAUGGGCAGACUUUCUUUUUUUUAAUGUAAAUUUAGAAUACUACAAUAAAAACGGCGCACAGCUUUUGAUGAAAACCAAA